rnacentral:rRNA from 1 species
CCUACGGGAGGCUGCAGUGGGGGAUAUUGCACAAUGGGGGAAACCCUGAUGCAGCGACGCCGCGUGUGGGAAGACGGUCCUCUGGAUUGUAAACCACUGUCCCCAGGGACUAAGAUGACGGUACCUGGGGAGGAAGCUCCGGCUAACUACGUGCCAGCAGCCGCGGUCAUACGUAGGGAGCGAGCUUUGUCCGGAAUUACUGGGUGUAAAGGGAGCGUAGGCGGUACUGCAAGUUGGGUGUCAAAUCUACCGGCUCAACCGGUAGCCGCACUCAAAACUGGAGUUCUUGAGUGAAGUAGAGGCAGGCGGAAUUCCUAGUGUAGCGGUGAAAUGCGUAGAUAUUAGGAGGAACACCAGUGGCGAAGGCGGCCUGCUGGGCUGUGACUGACGCUGAGGCUCGAAAGUGUGGGGAGCAAACAGGAUUAGAUACCCCAGUAGUC